GAAUCCUGACACAGGGAGGUAGUGACAAGAAAUAACAAUACAGGGCUACUUCUAGUCUUGUAAUUGGAAUGAGUACAACUUACAUCUCUUCACGAGGAUCAAUUGGAGGGCAAGUCUGGUGCCAGCAGCCGCGGUAAUUCCAGCUCCAAUAGCGUAUAUUAAAGUUGUUGCAGUUAAAAAGCUCGUAGUCGGAUUUCGGGUCGGGCCGAGCGGUCUGCCGAUGGGUAUGCACUGUUCGGCGCGGCCUUCUUUCCGGAGACCGCGGCUACUCUUAACUGAGCGGGCGUGGGAGACGGAUCGUUUACUUUGAAAAAAUCAGAGUGUUUCAAGCAGGCAGCUCGCUCUUGCAUGGAUUAGCAUGGGAUAAUGAAAUAGGACUCUGGUGCUAUUUUGUUGGUUUCGAACACCGGAGUAAUGAUUAACAGGGACAGUCAG
rnacentral:rRNA from 1 species